UGCUAACUGAAAAUGAAAGAAGAAACAAAAUGUGUCCCUGAUGUUUGAAAAGAGAUAAUGAAGUCACCAACAAGUACAGAGAAAUAACCUUGAAGACUUUGGUGAAAGCUCAUAAACAAAGAGGCUGGAUUUCUUCAGGUAGAGCUGAGAUCCUUUUCUGAACUGUUUGCCAUUGCUCCAUUUUGGACGUCUCGGCCAGGAUGUCUACUUGCUUCAAGGAGCUCAUCACUAACUUCAGCAGAUGCUUUGUCUUUGAUUGUUUUAUAAAUGGAGGAAGUUCCUCCUCCUUGCCAUCCCAUCUUCUGACCUUUGAGGAUAUAGCAUUUCUCUCUUAUCCUCUGGAGGACAAAUCAUUCAAGUGACCACCUUGGAAGCAGAGACUGAAAUCCCAGCACACACAGAAUCUGCUGGCACCUUGAUCUCAAACUGAGCAGCCUCCAGAACAUUGGGAAAUAAAUUUCUGUCCUUUA